UUUUAGCCCAGAUAGAAGUGGAAAUCCUUUUAUAAAUCAUCUAGCCAUUUUAAGGCUAGAUGAUUUAUAAAAGAUUGAAACGGAUAGCUGGAAUAGCU
rnacentral:sRNA from 1 species